UACGGGGGGGGCAAGCGUUGUUCGGAAUUACUGGGCGUAAAGGGCUCGUAGGCGGCCAACUAAGUCAGACGUGAAAUCCCUCGGCUUAACCGGGGAACUGCGUCUGAUACUGGAUGGCUUGAGGUUGGGAGAGGGAUGCGGAAUUCCAGGUGUAGCGGUGAAAUGCGUAGAUAUCAGGAGGAACACCAAUAGCGAAGGCAGCUCGCUGGGACGUUACUGACACUAAGGCGCGAAAGCGUGGGGAGCGAACAGG
rnacentral:rRNA from 1 species